AGAACGAACGCUGGCGGCGUGCUUAACACAUGCAAGUCGAGUGCACAGUUUCCGUAGCAAUACGGGGAUGGGUGCACGGCGCACGGGUGCGUAACACGUGGGCAAUCUGCCCUCCGAUGGGGAAUAACCCCGCGAAAGCGGGGCUAAUUUCGCAUAACAUUCCCUGAACCUCGGUUUGGGGAUUCAAAGCCGUAAGGCGUCGGAGGAGGAGCCCGCGCCCGAUUAGCUAGUUGGCGAGGUAACGGCUCACCAAGGCAAUGAUCGGUAGCUGGUCUGAGAGGAUGGCCAGCCACACUGGAACUGAGACACGGUCCAGACUCCUACGGGAGGCAGCAGUGGGGAAUCUUGCGCAAUGGGCGAAAGCCUGACGCAGCAACGCCGCGUGGGGGAUGAAGCUUCUCGGAGUGUAAACCCCUUUCGACUGGGACGAAUGCCUCGCAAGAGGAGUGACGGUACCAGUAGAAGAAGCCCCGGCUAACUACGUGCCAGCAGCCGCGGUAAGACGUAGGGGGCCAGCGUUGUUCGGAAUUACUGGGUGUAAAGGGUUCGUAGGCGGUGCGGCAAGUUGGGAGUGAAAUCUCUGGGCUUAACCCAGAGGCUGCUUCCAAAACUGCCGUGCUCGAGUGUGGGAGAGGCGCGUGGAAUUGCAGGUGUAGCGGUGAAAUGCGUAGAUAUCUGCAGGAACACCCGUGGCGAAAGCGGCGCGCUGGACCACAACUGACGCUGAGGAACGAAAGCUAGGGGAGCAAACAGGAUUAGAUACCCUGGUAGCCCUAGCCCUAAACGA
rnacentral:rRNA from 1 species